UACGGGGGGGGCAAGCGUUGUUCGGAAUUACUGGGCGUAAAGAGUGCGUAGGCGGUUUUCUAAGUUUGGUGUGAAAUCUCCCGGCUUAACUGGGAGGGUGCGCCGAAGACUGGAAGGCUUGAGUAUGGGAGAGGUAAGCGGAAUUCCUGGUGUAGCGGUGAAAUGCGUAGAUAUCAGGAGGAACACCUGCGGUGUAGACGGCUUACUGGACCAUCACUGACGCUGAGGCACGAAGGCCAGGGGAGCAAACGGG
rnacentral:rRNA from 1 species